rnacentral:rRNA from 1 species
GAUGAACGCUAGCGGGAGGCUUAACACAUGCAAGUCGAGGGGUAAAUGGUAGCAAUACUAUGAGACCGGCGAACGGGUGCGUAACGCGUAUGCAACUUACCUUAUGCAGGGGGAUAGCCCGUGGAAACGCGGAUUAAUAUCCCAUAGAUCAGUAAUAUCGCAUGGUAUAACUGGUAAAACUCAGGUGGCAUAAGAUGGGCAUGCGUCUGAUUAGCUAGUUGGUAGGGUAACGGCCUACCAAGGCGACGAUCAGUAGGGGUUCUGAGAGGAUUAACCCCCACACUGGUACUGAGACACGGACCAGACUCCUACGGGAGGCAGCAGUGAGGAAUAUUGGUCAAUGGGCGCAAGCCUGAACCAGCCAUCCCGCGUGAAGGAAGAAGGCCCUACGGGUUGUAAACUUCUUUUCUGUUUGAAGAAUAAGCUCGUCGAGACGAGUGAUGCCGGUAGGACAGGAAUAAGCAUCGGCUAACUCCGUGCCAGCAGCCGCGGUAAU